rnacentral:rRNA from 2 species
AGUGGCAGACGGGUGAGUAAUGUAUAGGAAUCUACCUAGUAGUACGGAAUAAUUGUUGGAAACGGCAACUAAUACCGUAUACGCCCUACGGGGGAAAAAUUUAUUGCUAUUAGAUGAGCCUAUAUUAGAUUAGUUAGUUGGUGAGGUAAAGGCUUACCAAGACAAUGAUCUAUAGCUGAUCUGAGAGGAUGAUCAGCCACACUGGAACUGAGAUACGGUCCAGACUCCUACGGGAGGCAGCAGUGGGGAAUAUUGGACAAUGGGCGAAAGCCUGAUCCAGCCAUGCCGCAUGAGUGAAGAAGGCCUUCGGGUUGUAAAGCUCUUUUAGUGAGGAAGAUAAUGACGGUACUCACAGAAGAAGUCCUGGCUAACUCCGUGCCAGCAGCCGCGGUAAUACGGAGAGGGCUAGCGUUAUUCGGAAUCAUUGGGCGUAAAGGGCGCGUANGCGGGUUAGUAAGUUAAAAGUGAAAUCCCAAGGCUCAACCUUGGAACUGCUUUUAAAACUGCUAGUCUAGAGAUUGAAAGAGGAUAGAGGAAUUCCUAGUGUAGAGAUGAAAUUCGUAAAUAUUANGAGGAACACCAGUGGCGAA